ACACUAUGCAUCCCACGGCUAAAAUGAGCACAAAGCCUCAACCAAGCGAAGCCCUAUGGAGCCAUUUUUGUGCUUUGGCCCAAUUGCUUAUGCACUAGACAUUUAUGAAGCAUGAAUCCCAGAAAUUCACAAUAUAAUUCAGGAGAUAUUGUAAUAAAUUUGAGCUUAUAUGAAAUUGGGGAAAAAACGAAUCUCAACAUAACUAUAUGCUGUACACAUACACAUCUACUGCAGUACUGCACAAAUCUCAGUAGUUAAAUUUGGAUUCGACGGUAAUGAGCAGUUAUGCUAAGAUUUAAACCAGAAGGGAAAAUAUCAAGAAAAAAGAGAAGAAGGUUAUGGAAAGGUACCUUUGAUGAUCG
rnacentral:misc_RNA from 1 species